rnacentral:tRNA from 1 species
CAAGGGUUAGUUAAUAUGUAUAAUAUAAAAUUGUCAGUUUUAAGUUACGAGUACCUUUGU